AAUCAACGCUGGCGGCGUGCCUCAGACAUGCAAGUCGAACGCGAAAGUUCCCUUCGGGGGAUGAGUAGAGUGGCGCACGGGUGAGUAACACGUAGGUAAUCUACCUUUGGAUGGGGAAUAACAACCGGAAACGGUUGCUAAUACCGCAUAAUGCAGCGGCACCUAAUGGUGACAGUUGUUAAAGCGGGGGAUCGAAAGACCUCGCGUCUGAAGAGGAGCCUGCGGCGGAUAGCUAGUUGGUAAGGUAACGGCUUACCAAGGCGACGAUCCGUAGCCGGCCUGAGAGGGCGGUCGGCCACACUGACACUGACAUACGGGUCAGACUCCUACGGGAGGCAGCAGUCGGGAAUUUUGGGCAAUGGGCGAAAGCCUGACCCAGCAACGCCGCGUGAAGGAUGAAAUCCCUCGGGAUGUAAACUUCGCAAGAACGGGAAGAAUAAGUAGGGGACAAUACCCCCUAUGAUGACGGUACCGUUUGUAAGCUCCGGCUAACUCCGUGCCAGCA
rnacentral:rRNA from 1 species